rnacentral:rRNA from 1 species
CUACGGAGGGUGCAAGCGUUGUUCGGAAUUACUGGGCGUAAAGCGCGCGUAGGUGGUCUGUUAUGUCAGAUGUGAAAGUCCACGGCUCAACCGUGGAAGUGCAUUUGAAACUGGCAGACUUGAGUACUGGAGGGGGUAGUGGAAUUCCCGGUGUAGAGGUGAAAUUCGUAGAUAUCGGGAGGAAUACCGGUGGCGAAGGCGACUACCUGGCCAGAUACUGACACUGAGGUGCGAAAGCGUGGGGAGCGAACAGGAUUAGAUACCCCAGUAGUCC